CCCUGUUGUGCGUGUUGCUGUUCAGUGCAAGGUGGCCUCUGAUCUUCCCAAGCUUGUUGAAGGUUUGAAGCGUCUGGCAAAGUCUGAUCCUAUGGUUCUCUGUACCAUUGAAGAGUCUGGUGAGCAUAUCAUUGCUGGAGCUGGAGAGCUUCACCUUGAAAUCUGUUUGAAGGAUCUGCAGGAUGACUUCAUGGGUGGUGCUGAAAUUAUUGUUUCCCCUCCUGUCGUCUCCUUCCGUGAGACUGUUCUGGAGAAGUCCUGCCGCACUGUCAUGAGCAAGUCCCCGAACAAGCACAACCGUCUUUACAUGGAAGCUCGCCCCUUGGAGGAGGGACUGGCUGAGGCCAUUGAUGACGGGCGCAUUGGCCCGCGUGACGAUCCUAAGGUGCGUUCCAAGAUCCUGUCUGAGGAGUUUGGCUGGGACAAGGAUCUUGCCAAGAAGAUUUGGUGCUUUGGACCUGAGACGACUGGACCCAACAUGGUCGUUGACAUGUGUAAGGGAGUGCAGUAUCUCAAUGAAAUCAAGGACUCUGUUGUGGCUGGGUUCCAGUGGGCGUCAAAGGAAGGCGCGUUGGCUGAGGAGAACAUGCGUGGCAUUUGCUUUGAGGUCUGUGAUGUUGUUCUCCACACUGAUGCUAUUCACAGGGGUGGUGGUCAGGUCAUUCCCACGGCCAGGAGGGUCAUUUAUGCUUCCCAGCUCACUGCCAAGCCAAGGCUGCUGGAGCCUGUGUACCUGGUUGAGAUCCAGGCCCUGGAGAAUGCACUUGGUGGCAUCUAUGGUGUUCUGAAUCAGAAGAGAGGGCACGUGUUCGAGGAGAUGCAGAGGCAAGGUACCCCGCUCUACAACAUCAAGGCCUACCUCCCUGUCAUCGAGUCCUUUGGGUUCUCAAGCACCCUGAGGGCCGCGACGUCCGGCCAGGCAUUCCCCCAGUGUGUGUUUGACCACUGGGACAUCAUGGCUUCUGAUCCUUUGGACCCUGGCACCCAGUCGGCGACGCUCGUCACGGACAUCCGCAAGAGGAAGGGCCUCAAGGAGCAGAUGACCCCUCUGUCCGAUUUCGAGGACAAGCUCUAAAUUUUUGGUGCUGUUAUCCCAUACCUGCUAUUGUGUUGUUAAAGAGAGCUGCACUAUUUUGUAUCGAUGAGUCUAUCUUACUGUCUUGCUGUUAAUGACCUAUUUGUCGUGAUACUGGGAACUAUGUUUUGAUGUCUGGUGAUGUAACGGAUGUUUUACUUAGAUUAUGUAUCUGUUGUCCACUGGUUCUUUUGCUCUUGUGCUUGAUCUUUAGAUUUGCCUGUUCACUAUUCUCGUUCGUUGG
rnacentral:lncRNA from 1 species